AGCAGGUUACACAAAAUAAUUUUGGCAGGAUUUCUCCUCUUCCCUCACUUGGAGCACUGAUACUUGACUGACAUAAUGGUGUGUGCAGUUCUUGACGUAAUCAAUGCCUAGGCUUAUGUGAGCAAAGUUCUUGAGAAGGCAUCUCUUUGAUUGAGGGAUCGCUUCAAUUUUCUUUUAGUGAGGAAAUGCAUAUCCAAAGGCGGUUGCAAGCCUGCUUUAAAUUAUAACAGAGCUGCUGUCUGAACUUUGUACGUAAUGAAGUUAGCAGUUGACAAUAAAAUACAAUGUUCUGUGUAAUUCCACUUUCGUAUUGGCAAUAAACUGUAUGGAGGCCGUCAAAAUCAAGAACAAAGAGUGAGGAUCAGUUCAAGUUUGAAGAAAGCCUUAAAUGCAAAGUUUGUGUUACAUGGACCUCGCCAGUUGAUUGAUGGAGCCGGCAAAGAGAAGGUGGGUGGCUUGGUCUGCUCAGCCAUACAAUUUGGAAGAAAUUUUUUGAGCGUCUGCAAUAUGAACGUUGUUGUUUUACUGUAACUUUUUUUUUUUUUUUUGAGAUUCUAAUCUAGACACCCUGUAAUACUUCUCUUGUAUGUAAUUCCUUGGUUUAAUAAAAGUCAUAUCCACUAA